UAGGGAAUCUUCGGCAAUGGGGGGAACCCUGACCGAGCAACGCCGCGUGAGUGAAGAAGGUUUUCGGAUCGUAAAGCUCCGUUGUUAAGGAAGAACGAGUGUGAGAAUGGAAAGUUCAUGCUGUGACGGUACUUAACCAGAAAGGGACGGCUAACUACGUGCCAGCAGCCGCGGUAAUACGUAGGGCGCAAGCGUUAUCCGGAAUUAUUGGGCGUAAAGAGCUUGUAGGCGGUUCGUCGCGUCUGGUGUGAAAGCCCAUCGCUUAACGGUGGGUUUGCGCCGGGUACGGGCGGGCUAGAGUGCAGUAGGGGAGACUGGAAUUCCCGGUGUAACGGUGGAAUGUGUAGAUAUCGGGAAGAACACCAAUGGCGAAGGCAGGUCUCUGGGCUGUUACUGACGCUGAGAAGCGAAAGCGUGGGGAGCAAACAGG
rnacentral:rRNA from 1 species